rnacentral:rRNA from 1 species
AUCCCAUCCCGAACUCAGCAGUGAAACGACGCAUCGCCGAUGGUAGUGUGGGGUUUCCCCAUGCGAGAGUAGGUCAUCGUCAAGC